rnacentral:rRNA from 1 species
CCUACGGGUGGCUGCAGUGGGGAAUAUUGCACAAUGGGCGCAAGCCUGAUGCAGCCAUGCCGCGUGUGUGAAGAAGGCCUUCGGGUUGUAAAGCACUUUCAGCGGGGAGGAAGGCGUUAAGGUUAAUAACCUUGGCGAUUGACGUUACCCGCAGAAGAAGCACCGGCUAACUCCGUGCCAGCAGCCGCGGUAAUACGGAGGGUGCAAGCGUUAAUCGGAAUUACUGGGCGUAAAGCGCACGCAGGCGGUCUGUCAAGUCGGAUGUGAAAUCCCCGGGCUCAACCUGGGAACUGCAUUCGAAACUGGCAGGCUAGAGUCUGGUAGAGGGGGGUAGAAUUCCAGGUGUAGCGGUGAAAUGCGUAGAGAUCUGGAGGAAUACCGGUGGCGAAGGCGGCCCCCUGGACAAAGACUGACGCUCAGGUGCGAAAGCGUGGGGAGCAAACAGGAUUAGAUACCCUAGUAGUC